rnacentral:rRNA from 1 species
UACGUAGGGGGCAAGCGUUGUCCGGAAUCAUUGGGCGUAAGGAGCGUGUAGGCGGCCAGAUAAGUCCGCUGUGAAAUCUCGAGGCUCAACUUCGAGCUGUCGGUGGAAACUGUCUGGCUAGAGUCCGGAAGAGGAGAAUGGAAUUCCUGGUGUAGCGGUGAAAUGCGCAGAUAUCAGGAAGAACACCCGUGGCGAAGGCGGUUCUCUGGGACGGUACUGACGCUGAGACGCGAAAGCGUGGGGAGCAAACAGG